CAAGACCUGCGCUUUUGGAGCGGCCGAUGUCUGAUUAGCUUGUUGGUAAGGUAAAAGCUUACCAAGGCUUCGAUCAGUAGCUGGUCUGAGAGGACGGCCAGCCACACUGGGACUGAGACACGGCCCAGACUCCUACGGGAGGCAGCAGUGGGGAAUUUUGGACAAUGGGGGCAACCCUGAUCCAGCCAUGCCGCGUGAGUGAAGAAGGCCUUCGGGUUGUAAAGCUCUUUCAGCCGGAACGAAACGGUUACGGUUAAUACCCGUGACUACUGACGGUACCGGAAGAAGAAGCACCGGCUAACUACGUGCCAGCAGCCGCGGUAAUACGUAGGGUGCAAGCGUUAAUCGGAAUUACUGGGCGUAAAGCGUGCGCAGGUGGUUUUGUAAGUCAGAUGUGAAAUCCCCGGGCUUAACCUGGGAACU
rnacentral:rRNA from 1 species